GCCGAAGUGGUGGAAUCUGGCAGACACGCUGUCUUGAGGGGGCAGUGGGUAACACCCGUGCGGGUUCAAGUCCCGCCUUCGGCACCA
rnacentral:tRNA from 1 species